UGGGAAAAGACCAGCUGAGGUGCUGGAAAAGGACUGGGGACAAAAAGAGCGGGUGGGACCAUCAGUCUCUGCCACACAGCAGGAGCUGCUGUGUUCCCAUUGGCAAGCUCUGCACAGGGCUCCAGAAGCCCCCUCUGACAAGGACCAGACAUCCCCGAGACAAUCGCCAAGUCUAGAAACUUCCAGCCAUAAGGGUUGCUCAAGGGUCUUUUGUUCUUCCUCAUGAUGUUUUAAAAUUGUUUUAUGGGACCAAGAGGCAUGCAAAGCCAGUCCUCAAUAUAGACAGAAUUGCAACUGCUGUCUGAGGAACCAAGAGCAGCUGUAUUCAUGAAGAGCAUAGAACGACGGUUGUCAGGCGAUGGAGGAGGGACAUUUGUCUACUGAGUACAGUGUCAGUUUGGCAUGAGGAAAGGAAUCCUGGAGAUGUGUUCUGAUUGCUGCACAGUGAUGUUAAUGUACCACUGAACUGUACCCUUGGAAUGGUUCCAAUGAUAACCUUUACUUUCUGUAUAUUUUAUUCUAGAAAUAGUUUUGAUUAGCAAAGGAACCGAAUAGAUAAUUCUCCAAAGAUGAUAAGCAAAAGGCCAAUAAGCACAGGAGACGAUGUUCAACAUCACCAGUUACUGAGGAAACAUUAAAAACAUGAAACUGUUUCACAUCUACUAAGAUAACACAAAAGACAGACAGUGGCACUUGGGGAGAAUGUAGAAAUUGGGAUGUGUGCUGUACUGAUGGAACUGCAAGAUGGUACAGCUGCCGUGGAAAACUGGUGGGCCCUCAGAAAGUUGAUUAUGGGCCAGAAGUGGUGACUUAUUCCUGAAAAACAUAAGCCAGGUGGUGGUGAUGGCAGUGGUGCACGCCUUUAAUCCCAGGACUUGGGAGGCAGAGGCAGGUGGAUCUCCGAGUUUGAGGCCAGCCUGGACCACAGAGUGAGUUCCAGGACAGGCAGGGCUACACAGAGAAACCCUGUCUCAUAAAGCCCAAAAC